AGAAAACUUCAUUUGUUUAGGUCUUGAUCUUAUCUGCCAGGAGGUGGCAAUUGUAGUUUGGAAAAUGCCUGUUGUAAAUUCAAGAGUUCUGAGUCCCUGCCUUGUGAGUCUGAGCAGACAUGCUUGUAUUGGCUGUAAACAAUAGAUUUGUUAGUGCAUUCUGGAAGGAAAUUGGCGGAAGCCACAGAUGCUGGUGAAACAUCAGGAAGAAACUCUUCCAGAACAUGGCCACAUAGCCCAAAAAACUCAGAAAAACUAUGGAUGCCGGCCAUGAAAGCCUUCGACUUCACAUUGGAGGCAUGAUGGAUCAGGAGGUGUUUUGUGGCAAUGUGAAGAAAGAGGUUGACUCAUUAGGACCCAAAGCCUUCUCAAUCUUCAGAGCACUCAACAUGGAGGAAAUGCACACCAGCCCUGGAGAUAACAUAGAAAUAAGUCCCAUCAUAUUGGAUGCAAUAGAAGGAAAAUAUUGAGAGGGAAAACAACCUGGAGCAGAAAGGAAAGGAGGAAAACCACGACUCUUUUCUGAUGCACUGGCGUGAGCCUAGCACAAUUUUGGAUUAGACCAUUUGUUCACCUUUGACUCUCUUGACAUUUUAUUUAUUUCAUUUUUUUGCCGCCUUUCUCCCAAAAAGGGACCCAAGGUGUAAAAACUUUACAAAAUUGUUUUUUAAAAAAACCAAUGAAAAUAAUCCAAUUAAAACAGUAUAAAGGUAACAUUAAAAACAUACAGACGUUAAAAAAAAUAACUAAAACGCAUACCCUAUAUAAAAGCCACCCUGUAUAAAAAUCUUUUUACUUGGUGAAAGAAAAGGGAGCAGCCUAGCCCCCCCUCCCCCAUUGAAGUGAGAUCCAGAGGCUGGGAGCAGCCACUGAGAAAGCUGUCUCACGUAUCCUCACCAGGCAAGACUGUGAUUGUGGUGGGACCAAGAGAAAGCCUUAUCCCAGAGGUCUUAGAGCUCUGGCUGGUUUGUAUGGGGAAAGACCAUCUGUUAAAUAGUCUGGGAAUGUUGGGAAGGAUUGUGCUCAUAACAGACUUUCUCCAUAUCUUUUUCUAUUCUGCCAGUGCCAAGUGCAUAAGGAGGUUUGGGUACCCGUAUCAUCUUUGUUCUGGUUCACUUACACUUGAGGAAGCUUGCUGUUUUGGCAGUCCUACAUUUUUAAAGAAAUAAUGUUUUUGAAAGAGAGAAUGCUUUUGUCAUUGUUAAACUUCAGCAUGCUAUUAUCCACAAAUAUUUCAUUAUAUUACAUUGUGUGUUAUCAUAUUUCAGCCAUUUCUUAAAUUUCUGACUCCCCUUUCUUGUUAAGGUUCUCUUGGGCUCUUUGAGAUAACACCAUGCAAAUGCAAAUAACUGUGCAAGACAAAGAAAUACUAUAUGCUUCAACUUCCUUCUGUCAUGGAAGAAGCUAUUGAAUGAGGUAUUUGUUUUUCAGUUUCUUUAGCAAGGACUGAAUCAAACUGGCUUUCUGCCUGUCAUCAGCUUUCCUAUAUAAUGAGUGGUACUCUCACAGCCUUUUGACAUUUGAAGCCUAUGAAUGCUUUUAUUAAUAUUAAUGUUAAUUCAAAGCUUUUCCAUCUUGCGAUCUCUAGGGACAUGGCAUAAUAAUUAUGAAGUUUGCUGAUCAUACAGGCUUGUUUUGCUUUGUG